CUCUAAAGUUAAAAGUUUUUAUUAAGGCUAUUGUAAAGGCUUCUUAAAAAUGAUGUCGCUGAUGAGCCUCUGAUCGCUGUCAGAUUCUGUGAUAUGAAUGUCCGCUAAUGGGUUUAGAAUGAGCCCCGCUCGGCCCGUGUUCUGGCUUACUGUAAUAUUUCACCUGUAAUAAGACCGAAAUAAUAUAAUUAAAAUAAAGAAAUGAAUGAAUACAUGAUAACAUCUAAAUAAAUGUUGAUAGAUUUAGCGUUAUAGUUUUAAAAAUAUUAAUAAACAGCAAAUCAACACAGAAAGACCUAAAUAAUAAUAAUACAUAAUUAAUAAACAGCGCCGCCCCUCCCACUACGCGCAUCACGCGCUGUGCGUCAACCCCAAAGCGUCAAAAACUGAAGCGUGGUCAAGCGCCUCUAGCGUCACUGACAUGAGAUGUUUAUCGCUUUGAAAUCACGUUCAAGAAGUCUCAUUCAGCACACAUCGCGAUACUUUCCAUCAGUUUGCAAGAGCCGCAGGAUGGGUGAGUUAUACAGUCUAUGGUGAGUAGUAGUAAAUAUGCUAUUUUAAUGCCUGUCCUAAAACGUAUUCUGUCUUCUUUAUUAAUCAGAUGAGCGCCUUAUGUUUACUCUCUGUAUUACAUCGGUCAUCCGAGGCUGUCUUUGAGUUUCAUUGUGUUUAACUAAAUGAACACAGCUGCUAACUGGUUAAACUCUAUCGGUCACGUGACGUGACGUGCCACAGACCUGGGAUCCGUUUUAUAUUCAUUUCAGGUUCAAAGAUCUGAAAAGACGUAAAGUAAGCAGUCACCCCAGUGGUGUUUGUGGAGAGGUAUUCCUUCAGAAAUGGAGAAGACAGAAAGCUGCAGAGGCAGGAUUGUUUGCAGAUAAUGCUGUUCUUCUUUUUCAGAAGUUUUUGGUGGGCCAACCCUCACAAACCUUCCUAAAAACUAAAAGAGCUAUUACUGAGUCUCAGCGACUCUUGCCACGAUCAGCUCUUCCCAGAAGAGAAGGAAGACCAAGGAAAUGAUUUGCUCAGGAUGAGAAAUGAAGAUGGUCAUCUUGUGCUCAAGCAAACAGAAGUCCUCUGAUGAUCUCAUCAACCAAAUGAGGGGUUUUGACCAAGUGAUGCUCUUGAAAGGACUGAAAGAAGAGGAUGUGGUAAAUUGUCUUCAGAGAAAAAGCUUCUCAAAAGAUCUUAAAACAGCUUGAAGAAUGGUCUGGGAUCUUAGGACUGAGAGAUCUCACUGGCACCCAGUUAACCUCCAUAGAGAACAUUUAUCAGAAGCGCUGUCUGGGCAGGGCAAGAAACAUCAUCAAGGAUGCCUCUCACCCUAACCAUGGACCUUUCACCCUCCUUCCAUCCGGCAGGCGUUACAGGAGCCUACGCUCUCGAACUAGUAGACUCAGGAAGAGCUUCUUCCCCGAGGCUGUGACACUCCUGAACGUCACACCACCAAUCUAACCUGCACCUGCUCUUUUACUGCACUGGUCACAGUACUUUACAUACAUGUAUUGCACUACUCAUAUUUUGCACAGACUGCACAUGGUUAAAUCCAUUACACUAUAAACUGUCUAAAGCUGUUACUGUUCAAGCACAGUAAACUAUUUCUACAAUAAAUAUAAUUGCACUACUAUUAUUUUGCAUAUAAUAAAUUGGUAAACUAUACUUUUGCACACUCAUUCAACUGUAUUUAUUACCACUGUUCUCAAGUUCCUGCUAUUCAUAAUGUAUAUAUAAUUCUUCUUUGCUCUGUUCAUAAUGUACAUACAAUCCCUACAUUACAUUCAUAUUUAUAUUCUGUAUAUACUCUGAUCAAUAUUGUAUAUAGCAACUCCACUGUAAAUUCUGUAUUUCAUAGCUUUACUUACUCUGCACUUUUAUGUAUAUAAAACACUAUAUUCUUGCACUUCUGGUUAGAUGCUAACUGCAUUUCAUUAGCUCUGUACUUGUACUCUGCAUAAUGACAAUAAAGUUGAAUCUAAUCUAAUCUAAUCUUCUGGCUGAGAACAAGCUACACCACAUCAGUGCUGGAUAUCAACCAAAAGCUGUUUCCAGACACGAGAGAAGAUCACGAUGAAACCAGUUUAGAUGUGUUGAUAAGGAAUCAUUAUUUUCUGAAACAGUAUCAAAUGUCUUAUAUGUAUCACAUGAUCUGUAUCACAGUUGACUGGAUGGGACUGUGACUUUUAAGGACAUUUCAUCACUCAUCUGUGUGAACUGAUUAAU